GAUGAACGCUGGCGGCGUGCUUAACACAUGCAAGUCGAGCGAAGCACUUUGCUUUGAUUUUUUCGGGAUGAAGAGCUUGGUGACUGAGCGGCGGACGGGUGAGUAACGCGUGGGUAACCUGCCUCAUACAGGGGGAUAACAGUUAGAAAUGACUGCUAAUACCGCAUAAGGCCACAGCACCGCAUGGUGUAGGGGUAAAAACUCCGGUGGUAUGAGAUGGACCCGCGUCUGAUUAGGUAGUUGGCGGGGUAACGGCCCACCAAGCCGACGAUCAGUAGCCGACCUGAGAGGGUGACCGGCCACAUUGGGACUGAGACACGGCCCAAACUCCUACGGGAGGCAGCAGUGGGGAAUAUUGCACAAUGGGGGAAACCCUGAUGCAGCGACGCCGCGUGAGCGAAGAAGUAUUUCGGUAUGUAAAGCUCUAUCAGCAGGGAAGAAAAUGACGG
rnacentral:rRNA from 1 species